UACAGAGGUCCCAAGCGUUGCUCGGAAUUACUGGGCGUAAAGCGCACGUAGGCGGCUCUUUAAGUCGGGGGUGAAAUCCUGGAGCUCAACUCCAGAACUGCCUUCGAUACUGAAGAGCUCGAGUCCGGGAGAGGUGAGUGGAACUGCGAGUGUAGAGGUGAAAUUCGUAGAUAUUCGCAAGAACACCAGUGGCGAAGGCGGCUCACUGGCCCGGUACUGACGCUGAGGUGCGAAAGCGUGGGGAGCAAACAGG
rnacentral:rRNA from 1 species